AAAGACUAAGGAAACAAGAGAGACAUUGAAUAGUCAAAGAAUCUUGGAGAAGAUGGCGAGAAAAAUGGCUAUGGGAGAUGAAGAAGCUGAUCUGAGUAAUAUUAUUAUUCCUCUUCACAGCUCUGGUCUCCUAUUCUUGCUUCUUAUGGUGUUCACUUCCCUGCUGAUUGUACCACUGGUUUUGCUUGCUUGUGCUGACGGUGCUGAUCAAAACUCCUCCCAGAACAAAGGUAAAGGAAGCGAUUGUGGGGGCGGAGCCGGAUGUGGCGGCGGCGGAUGUGGCGGCGGCGGAUGUGGUGGAGGCUGCGGUGGUUGAUAAUUUUAUGAAGAAUUUGGAUCGAUCAAACAGUUGACGACGACGAUACAUGGAUCACCACUAUAUAUAUAUAUAUAUAUUAAACGUUCCGUUUCUGUUGUUUGAUAGAUCAGAUCCCAACAGAAACAGAUAGGAGGAGAAGAGAGUCGUCAAAAACCAAAAUGAUAUGAUGGGGUUUUCAAUUGGGAGCUACACACACACACACACACAUAAAUAUAUGGUAGUGGCAGCAUUCGGUUUCUUGGGGAUUAUUGCCAAACUGGUUUCCCUCUCGUACUUCUUGUGCUAACAAGAAGGGAAAUCAGAAAUUGGGCGGCGAUGGCAACAGCGGAGGAGGUUGCGGUGGCGAAACACUCGUCUGAACUAUGUACUCAUCUCGUCUUCAUUAUAUUCAAUUAUUAAUAUACCAUAACUCACAGUCGAGUAAUCUAUAGUUCAGUUAUAAAAUAAGACAACAUAUUCACAGGAUCAUACAUUUUAUAAUUUCGUGGUAAUAAUAUACAAAAGAAUAUUGAUUUUUCA